rnacentral:rRNA from 1 species
ACGCUCGACACCUACGGGAGGCAGCAGUGGGGAAUAUUGCACAAUGGGGGAAACCCUGAUGCAGCAACGCCGCGUGAAGGAAGACGGUUUUCGGAUUGUAAACUUCUGCUCUUAGUGAAGAUAGUGACGGUAGCUAAGGAGCAAGCCACGGCUAACUACGUGCUAGCAGCCGCGGUAAUCUGAGCGGGCUGGCAAGGC